rnacentral:tRNA from 2 species
UACCCCGUGGUGUAAUGGUAACACAGGAGAUUUUGAUUCUCUCGUUCAAGGUUCGAGUCCUUGCGGGGUAGCCA